UUAAUUAAGGGCGUAUGGUGGAUGCCUUGACAUCAAACAGCGAUGAAGGACGUGGCGUGGCUGCGAUAAGCUUCGGGGAGGCGCUUAGCAACCUUUGAUCCGAAGAUUUCCGAAUGGGGAAACCCAUGAGCGCAAACCGCUCAUACUUCGCGUUUUGCUUCAAGUUUCAAAUUCCAAAAUCCAAAUUCCAAAUAAAUUUCAAAUCCUAAAUUCAAAAUUCCAAAUAUGUUUUGGUUAUUAGAAUUUUGGUUAUUGGAUAUUAUUUGUGAUUUGAUGUUUGAGAUUUGGGAUUUUGAGCAGAAUGCGAAGAGCGUACCCGCUGAAGUGAAACAUCUCAUUAAGCGGAGGAACAGAGAAUAACAAUUUAUUCCCCUAGUAGCGGCGAGUGAAAAGGGAAGAGCCUAAACUUAUAAAAAAAUUCGCAAGAAAAUUUUUAUAAGGGUUGCAAGACAGAGACACUCUUUUGAUUUAUUUCACAUAUAACCAUUUUAUGUGUGAAAUAAGUUAAAAGGUGGGAGAGUUACAAAUUCUCCGACGUAAAAAUCGGAGCUCCGACCUCGUAAGAGCGUCGGAGCUUUGGCUAGUUGAAUCGGCUGGAAAGCCGAACCAAAGCAGGUGAUAGUCCUUUAAACGAAAGCCGAAGAACUCUUUAGUUUUUGCUCUGACGUAAAAGUCGGAGUCCCGACCUCGCAAGAGCGUCGGGAAUCUUAAGUACCUCGACGACAGGAUGCUUCGAGGGAAUCAUCCGGCACUAUCCGGAAAGGCUAAAUAUGUUUGAUGAUCGAUAGUGAACUAGUACCGUGAGGGAAAGGUGAAAAGCAGGCCGGCGAGGCCGAUGAAAUAGUAUCUGAAACCAUAUGUCUACAAGGAACGGAAGCUCGCACAGUGCUUCGCACUGGAAUUUUCAAUUAUCAAUUCUCAAUUUUCAUUAAAUUUUCAAUGAUUCAAUUUUCAUUGGAAAUUGGAAAUUAAAAAUUGGAAAUUGGAGCUUCCAAUGCGAAGCAUUGGGAGCGACCGUGUGCCUAUUGAAGAAUGAGCCAACGAGUUUAUUUUACUCCUUUGUCUAAGCUUUACGGAGCGGAGGCACAGGGAAACCGAGUCUUAAUAGGGCUACUAUUAAGGGGUGGAAUAAGACCCGAAGCCAAGCGAGCUUGCCCUGAUCAGGAUGAAGCGGAGGUAAAACUCUGUGGAGGUCCGAACCGGUUGGUUGUGCAAAACCUUCGGAUGAAUUAGGGUAAGAAGUGAAAAGCUAAUCGAGCUUGGUAAUAGCUGGUUCUCUCCGAAAUAGCUUUAGGGCUAGCGUUGGGCAAAAAUAUAUCUGGGGUAGAGCUACUGGUUGAGAAGUAAUGGGGGAAACCUCGGCUUCUUAGUCAAACUCCGAAUACGGAUAUAAAUCCCCCACAUAAUUUAUGUGGGGGAUGAAUCGGCCCGGCAGUUAGAAUGUGGGGGCUAAGCUCCAUGUUCAAAAGGGAAACAGCCCAAAUCGUCGUCUAAGGUCCCUAAAUAUCCCCGACGUAAAGUCGGGGCUCCGACACCGCAAGGUCGUCGGAGUUGCUAAGUGUUAAAGGUAGUGAUUCGCCAUAGACAGAUAGGAGGUUGGCUUAGAAGUAGCCAUCCUUUAAAGAGUGUGUAACAACUCACUAUUCGACGGCGAAUUGCGCCGAAAAUUUACCGGGGCUAAGCAAGUUACCGAAGACACGGAUCGUUCGCGCUUCACUUUUGUUCAGCGCUCACGGUAUCGAUACGAAUAUACGAAUUUACUAAUGAUACGAAUAAAAAUCGUAUUCGUAUAAUUCGUAUGCAUUCGUAAUAUUAGCAUCGAUACAGCGAGAGCCGAGCGAGAGCGAGGCGCGAGCGGUGGUAGGAGAGCAUUUCAAACGCGCUGAAGCCGGACUCGCGAGAGCCGGUGGAGUGUUUGGAAGAGAGAAUGUUGGCAUGAGUAACCACAAUCCCAAUGAGAAUUUGGGACUCCGAAAAUCCAAGGGUUCCUCCGUAACGGAAAUCGACGGAGGGUUAGGCGAUCCUAAGGCGAUGGCGAAAGCCGCAGCUGAUGGGAAGCUGGUUAAUAUUCCAGCCCCUCUGUAUAGUUCGAUGGGGUAACGAAGAAAAUAAGAUUGAGCGUCUUAAUGGUUUGACGUUGUUUGUUUCUAGAAUUGUUCGACAGGAAAAUCCGUUGAACUGCUUUUAAUGGCGAAAUUCGGAAAUCGAAAAAAUUCAGCUUAGGUUGGAAAUUCAAUCGAAGAGUCUUUCGAGAAAAACCUCUAAGAAUGGCUAUAUAGAGAUCGUACCGUAAACCGACACAGGUGGGUGAGGCGAGAAGCCUAAGGAGAACGAGUGAGUCUUCGUUAAGGAACUCGGCAAAAAAGCGGCCGUAAGUUCGCAAUAAGGCCUCCGAGCACUCAACUUUGACAAAGUUAAAUUAUGACUAGUUGAAUUUUUUAAAAUACACUAAUCACCGUCAAAGUUGAGUGCUCGGCGCAGCGAAAGUAUCUCUAGCGACUGUUUAACAAAAACACAGCUCCCUGCGAACUCGCAAGAGGAUGUAUAGGGGGUGAUGCCUGACCGAUGCGAGAAGGUUAACGUUGCCGGUUAGUGCUUCGCACUGGAAUUUUCAAUUAUCAAUUUACAAUUUUCAAUAAAUUUUCAAUGAGUCAAUUUUCAUUGGAAAUUGAAAAUUAAAAAUUGAAAAUUGGAGCUCCCAAUGCGGAGCAUUGGCUGAGCGACCGAAGCCCUCGUCAAUGUCAGCGAUAACUAUAAUCGUUCUAAGGUGAAUUGAUUGCUUUAGUAAAAUUCGGCUAUAUGCUGGAAUAUCUGGUGCAUCCGAAACUACUAUGGUAUAAUACGACCAUAGAAAUAUGAUUAAAAAUAUACCAAGUAAAAAAGUUAUCGGUGCAGACAAUCAGCAGGAAAGAUUAAAAAUGGCAGGUUGGAUUUCAGGUUUUACGGAUGGUGAAGGAUGUUUCACGAUAUCUGUAAUAAAAAAUUCAACUACUCGAUUUGGCAAACAGAUUUUUCCGGAAUUUGUAAUUACGCAAGGCGAAAAAAGUUUAGAUGCUCUUUAUAAAAUCAAAAAUUAUUUUAAUUGUGGCAGUAUCGUAUUAAAUAAACGCUACGAUAAUCACAAUGAGCAUCUUUAUCGCUAUUGCGUUAGGUCAAUUUCGGAAUUACAAAAUAAAAUUAUUCCAUUUUUUGAAGAAUAUACGCUUAAAACUUAUAAACUAAAUGAUUUUAAAAUAUUUAAAAAAGUCAUUAAAUUUAUGAUUAAAAAGCAGCAUUUAACAAAUGAAGGAUGGAAAAAAAUUUUAAAACUUGCAAGUAAAACAAAUCGAAAGAAAAAACGUUUUUAAAAUCCUCAGAGACUAUAUGCCGAACUUCAAUUUUUUAUUGGAGAAGAUAUAGUCCGAACUCUAUGGCGACAUGGAGAGAUAAACAGAAAUGUUCUAUCCGAUUCUAGAUUCUAAUUUCUAAAUUCUAGAUUCUGUAACACAAUUGAGCGCAAUUCCUUUCCGGGUAAGUUCCGGAGCGCACGAAUGGUAUAACGACUGGAGAACUGUCUCAACGAAGAGCUCGGUGAAAAUGCGAUUCCCGUGAAGACGCGGGAUACCUGCAACGGGACGAAAAGACCCCGGGAGCUUUACUGCAGCUUGAUAUUGUUUUUAGAGUUUUAAUGCGUAGCGUAGUGGGGAGCCUUUGAAGUUUCGCUUUCGGGCGGAGCGGAGGCGUCAAUGAAACACCCAUCUUUAAAAUUUUAAAGACUAACCUUGGCGGCAAAAACGACAGGGAACAGUGUCUGGCGGGCAGUUUAAAUGGGGCGUUUUCCUCCAAAAAAGUAACGGAGGAGUUUAUUAAGGUCGGCUAGGAGCGGAUGGAAAUCGCUCUCGUCGUGUAAACGCACAAGCCGGCUUAACUGCAAGGCCUACAAGCCGCGCAGACGCGAAAGCGGAAGUUAGUGACCCGACAAUUCUUUAUAGAAAGGUUGGAGACACCGGAUAAAAGCUACCCCGGGGAUAACAGGCUAGUGUUGCCCGAGAGUCCUUAUCGACGGCAACGCUCGGCACCUCGAUGUCGGCUCAUCACAGCGCGGGGGUGAAGAAGCUCCCAAGCGUUUGGCUGUUCGCCAAUUAAAGUGAUACGUGAGCUGGGUUCAAACCGUCAAAAAAGAACCCUUUACGACAAUCGAACACGGCGGCUUCCAAUAGUAAUAUUGGAAUGCAUAAAUCCCACACAUAAAAUAUUAUGUGGUGGGAUAAAUCGACUCAUAUCGGUGAAUUCCUAAUAUUGAUUUUUAACCUGUCAGAUGUUAGGAUAAUAUCGAGGGAAGUUAUGUAUUCAGUAUAUAUUAACCCCGUAGAGACUUCUCCGACGUAUGUCGGAGAGAUAAAAUCUUUAAAGAUUUUAUAAAACGUCGAUCUUCUUUAUAAAAAUAAAGAAGGUGGUAUAGUCCAAACAAUUAGUAAUAAUUGAAAACAUGCGUGAGACAGGUUGGUCUCUAUCUGUUGCAGGCGUUGAUGUUUGAGGGAAGUUGCGAUUAGUACGAGAGGACCAUCGUGAACAAACCUCUGGUCUACCGGCUUUGCCACCAGGUGAAGCGCCGGGUAGCUAUGUUUGGCAGGGAUAAGCGCUGAAAGCAUCUAAGCGCGAAGCCUUCCCCAAGAUUAGACAUCAAUCCCACACAUAAUUUUAUGUGGGGGAUCAAGACUCGUGGAAGACUACCACGUUGAUAGGCUUUAGGUGUAAGCACAGUAAUGUGUUCAGCCAAGAAGUACUAAUAAGUCG
rnacentral:rRNA from 1 species